UUUUGGCAUAUGAUGAAUGACAUUUAACAAAUGGGUAAUUUGCGACUGAAAGCUUUUUUUGAUGCUACAUCACCUUGGAGAACUGAUGCCAACU